GAUGAACGCUGGCGGCGUGCCUAAUACAUGCAAGUCGAGCGAACAGAUGAGGAGCUUGCUCCUCUGACGUUAGCGGCGGACGGGUGAGUAACACGUGGAUAACCUACCUAUAAGACUGGGAUAACUUCGGGAAACCGGAGCUAAUACCGGAUAAUAUAUUGAACCGCAUGGUUCAAUAGUGAAAGACGGUUUUGCUGUCACUUAUAGAUGGAUCCGCGCCGCAUUAGCUAGUUGGUAAGGUAACGGCUUACCAAGGCAACGAUGCGUAGCCGACCUGAGAGGGAGGCAGGCCACAUGAGAACUGGGACCCGGCCGACACUCAUACGGAGGCAGCCAGGAGGGAUUCUCCCGCAAGGGGCGAAAACCUGACGGAGCAGCGCCGGGGGAGUGAUAAAGGUUUUGGGUCCGAAAAACUGUUUUAUUAGGGAGAAACAAAUGUGUAAGAACCUGUACGCGUCUGGGCGUUACCUAAUAAAAAAGCCGCGGCAACCUCCGUC
rnacentral:rRNA from 1 species